rnacentral:rRNA from 1 species
AUUGAACGCUGGCGGCAGGCCUAACACAUGCAAGUCGAGCGGAAACGACAUUAUUGAUUCUUCGGAUAAUUUAAGUGGGCGUCGAGCGGCGGACGGGUGAGUAAUGCCUAGGAAAUUGCCUUGAUGGUGGGGGAUAACUAUUGGAAACGAUAGCUAAUACCGCAUAAUGUCUUCGGACCAAAGAGGGGGAUCUUCGGACCUCUCGCGCUAAGAUUAGCCCAGGUGAGAUUAGCUUGUUGGUGAGGUAAGAGCUCACCAAGGCGACGAUCUCUAGCUGGUCUGAGAGGGUGAUCAGCCACACUGGAACUGAGACACGGUCCAG